rnacentral:rRNA from 1 species
AUUGAACGCUGGCGGCAGGCCUAACACAUGCAAGUCGAGCGAGCGGCGGACGGGUGAGUAAUGUAUGGGGACUGCCCGAUAGAGGGGGAUAAAUACAGGAAAAGGUAGCUAAUACCGAAUACACUCGGCAAACGCAUAGGGGAUUAGCUAGUAGGUGAGGUAAUGGCCCACCUAGGCGAAGAGCCCUAGCUGGUCUGAGAGGAUGAUCAGCCACACUGGGACUGAGACACGGCCCAGACUCCUACGGAGGCAGCAGUGGGGAAUAUUGCACAAUGGGCGCAAGCCUGAUGCAGCCAUGCCGCGUGUAUGAAGAAGGCCCUAGGGUUGUAAAGUACUUUCAGUCGGGAGGCGUUACCGACAGAAGAAGCACCGGCUAACUCCGUGCCAGCAGCCGCGGUAAUAC